CCCACUGUGUCACAGCAAGACAUUCUGAACUUUAUGAUGGUAAUCCAUCCUGAAAAGGACUGUACUGUACACAGCUAUAAAACCCACGGGAGACAAAUAGACUGAACAUACUGUACACAGCUAUAAAACCCACGGGAGACAAAUAGACUGAACAUACUGUACACAGCUAUAAAACCCACGGGAGACAAAUAGACUGAACAUACUGUACACAGCUAUAAAACCCACGGGAGACAAAUAGACUGAACAUACUGUACACAGCUAUAAAACCCACGGGAGAUGAGUGGUUGUAGCUAACUAGAAAUUCACCAUACAACAACACAUAACAUACUGUCUUUCAUUUAGUAAUUCACCGUGAUGUCAUGUAAUGUCUGCAUUGAUGUGUGUGUGUGUUUGCAUGAUGUGUGUGUGUGUGUUUGCAUGAUGUGUGUGUGUGCCUGAUGUGUGUGUGUGUGUGUGCCUGAUGUGUGUGUGCAUGAUGUGUGUGUGUGUGUGUGCGCCUGAUGUGUGUGUGUGUGCCUGAUGUGUGUGUGCAUAAUGUGUGUGUGUGUGUGUGCAUGAUGUGUGUGUGUGUAGUAUUCCCGGUGACUGUCCUCCUCCGAGUAGUAUUUUGGGGCGAAGCUACAGGGAGAGGCAGGGCCUGAGGGUGAGUGACAGCCGACCUGGCCAUAGGGAGACACCAUUGAAUACUGAUGUUGGUACGUUCAGUGGGCUGCGUAUCGGAGAAGUACAGUCUGUCAGAGAGCUGUCCAGACCAGAGUUCGUCAUACACCCUCACCGCUACUUCAACCAUAGCGCCAAAACCAGCCCAAUAUUCACACCCCUACCUGCCAACACUGAGGACUACCUUCAGGAUGUUCUUCCCUCUCUGUGCCCUCCUGCAGUGGUGAAGGCUGCCUUUGACCAGCGGAGUCUGUUCCCUAAAGAGCUUCUGGAUGAGGAGGACAGGCCUAGCCAUGGAGCCAGGAAACAGGGGAGCAGGGAGAACCGGAUCAACGACAGGGGGCGUGGGAGGAAGGACAGACAAAGAAAGGGUAGUUCCUCUGGAGCCUUCAAGUGAAGACGUCAUUUAUAUUGUUAUCUACUUUAUCACGUUUCAAUAUAACUUAAAUGUCUGUCAAAUUAAAUCUGAUCAAUCAAGACACGUGUGUUUAUGUCUCUCUGCUUCCCCUCAUGAGAAAGUACUACUAAAUUACUACUACAUUACUACUACAUUACUACUACAGUACUACUACAGUACUACUACAUUACUACUACAUUACUACUACAGUACUACUAAAUUACUACUACAUUACUACUACAUUACUACUAAAUUACUACUACAGUACUACUACAUUACUACUACAUUACUACUACAAUACUACUACAGUACUACUAAAUUACUACUACAUUAUUACUACAGUACUACUAAAUUACUACUACAUUAUUACUACAUUAUUACUACUACAGUACUACUAAAUUACUACUGCAUUACUACAUUAUUACUACUACAUUACUACUAAAUUACUACUACUUGAUUGCUAUUGAGAUGUGUAGUAAACCAGUAUUGAUUUAUGUAGUAAUUAGUGAUACAUUGGGAUGUUUCACUACUUGUGAGCACUUGAUAUUUCCUACUCAAUUCUGGCGUGUUCACUAUCGAAUUACAACCAAAUGCCUAUAUAUUUCUACUGUAUCACUACUGCCAUUUACCUGUGUAGUGUCAGUACUGAUCACUACUGCCAUUUACCUGUGUCGUGUCAG
ensembl:lncRNA